rnacentral:misc_RNA from 1 species
GCUCCGUUGGUGAACCAGCGGAGGGAUCAUUACAGGACUCGCAAGACUCCUACAACCCUGUGAACUUAACUAUAAGCACGUUGCUUCGGCGGGUGUCUCGGAGGGGGUUCUCCCUCCCCGAGACGCUAAACCCGCCGGCAGCCUACUAUACUCUGUCUCUUUGCGUUGGCAUCUCGAGUACAAUCAAACAAGUUAAAGCUUUCAACAACGGAUCUCUUGGUUCUG